rnacentral:rRNA from 1 species
GCCUGACGAAGCCAUGCCGCUUGAAAAAAUAUGUCAUUCGGGUUGUAAAGCUCUGUCCUGACGGAAGAAGCGACUGACGGUACCCCCGGAGGAAGCACCGGCUAAUUACGUGCCAGCAGCCGCGGUAAUACGUAGGGGGCGAGCGUUGUUCGGAAUUACUGGGCGUAAAGGGUGUGUAGGCGGUAAUGUAAGUCAGUUGUGAAAUACCUCCGGCUCAACCUGGGAGGGGGCGCUUGAAAUUGCAUAGCUUGAGUGCCGGAGAGGGGAGUGGAAUUCCCAGUGUAGCGGUGAAAUGCGUAGAUAUUUGGAGGAACACCAGUGGCGAAAGCGGCUUCCUGGCCUGUUACUGACGCUGAGGCGCGAAAGCGUGGGGAGCAAACAGGAUUAGAUACCCUGGUAGUCCACGCCCUAAACGA